GAUGAACGCUAGCUACAGGCUUAACACAUGCAAGUCGAGGGGAAACGACAUCGAAAGCUUGCUUUUGAUGGGCGUCGACCGGCGCACGGGUGAGUAACGCGUAUCCAACCUGCCCACCACUUGGGGAUAACCUUGCGAAAGCAAGACUAAUACCCAAUGAUAUCUCUAGAAGACAUCUGAAAGAGAUUAAAGAUUUAUCGGUGGUGGAUGGGGAUGCGUCUGAUUAGCUUGUUGGCGGGGUAACGGCCCAACAAGGCGACGAUCAGUAGGGGUUCUGAGAGGAAGGUCCCCCACAUUGGAACUGAGACACGGUCCAAACUCCUACGGGAGGCAGCAGUGAGGAAUAUUGGUCAAUGGACGAGAGUCUGAACCAGCCAAGUAGCGUGCAGGAUGACGGCCCUAUGGGUUGUAAACUGCUUUUAUAAGGGAAUAAAGUGAGUCUCGUGAGACUUUUUGCAUGUACCUUAUGAAUAAGGACCGGCUAAUUCCGUGCCAGCCGCCGCAGUAA
rnacentral:rRNA from 1 species